UUGUCCGGAUUCUGGGCGUAAGGGCGCGUUAGGCGGCCUGUUAAGUUGUGGUGUGAAAUCUCCAGGGCUCAACCCGGAAACUGCACCGCAUACUGGCAGACUAGAGGAAUGUAGAGGUAGAUGGAAUUCCCCGUGUAACGGUGACAUGUGUAGAUAUGGGGAGGAACACCAAUUGCGAAGGCAGUCUACUGGGCAUUUCCUGACGCUGAGGCGCGAAAGCGUGGGUAGCAAACAGAAUUAGAUACUCUGGUAGUCCACGCCCUAAACGAUGGAUACUAGGCGUCAGGGGUAUCGACCCCCCUGGUGCCGCAGCUAACGCAUUAAGUAUCCCGCCUGGGGAGUACGGCCGCAAGGUUGAAACUCAAAUGAAUUGACGGGACCCCGCACAAGCGGUGGAGCAUGUGGUUUAAUUCGAUACUAACCGAAGAACCUUACCCAGGUUUGACAUCGCGAGAAAUCCUGUGAAAGCAGGCCCCCUACCCACAAGGUAGACUCAAAGACACCUGUUGCAUGGCUGUCGUCAGCUCGUGCCGUGAGGUGUUUGGUUAAGUCCAGCAACGAGCGCAACCCUCGUCUAAUGUUGCCAGCGGGUAAUGCCGGGAACUCGUUAGAGACCGCCGGUGCAAACCGGAGGAAGGUGGGGGAUGACGUCAAGUCAGCAUGGCGGUUACGCCUGGGGCUACACACAUGCUACAAUGGGCGAAACAAAGGGCAGCAAAGCCGCGAGGUGGAGCUAAUCCCAAAAAUACGUCCUCAGUUCAGAUUGUAGUCUGCAACUCGACUACAUGAAGCGGAAUCGCUAGUAAACGCAGUCAGCUAUACUGCGUUGAUACGUUCCCGGGGUUUGUACACACCGCCCGUCAAGUGAUCCGAAUGUCUUCACCCGAAGUCCGUGGCUACCGUAGAGGAGCGCGAGUGAGGGGGGGUAAGAGCACUAGUCGUACAGUACCGUAUCCGCGCAUGCGCGAGCAUGCGACGUCCGCCAUCGCUAG
rnacentral:rRNA from 1 species